GACGAACGCUGGCGGCGUGCUUAACACAUGCAAGUCGAACGGAAAGGCCCUGCUUUUGUGGGGUGCUCGAGUGGCGAACGGGUGAGUAACACGUGAGUAACCUGCCCUUGACUUUGGGAUAACUUCAGGAAACUGGGGCUAAUACCGGAUAGGAGCUCCUGCUGCAGGGGGGGGGUUGGAAAGUUUCGGCGGUUGGGGAUGGACUGCCGGCUUAUCAGCUUGUUGGUGGGGUGGUGGCUUACCAAGGCUUUGACGGGUAGCCGGCCUGAGAGGGUGACCGGCCACAUUGGGACUGCGGUACGGCCCAGACUCCUACGGUAGGCAGCAGUGGGGAAUAUUGCACAAUGGGCGGAAGCCUGAUGCAGCAACGCCGCGUGCGGGAUGACGGCCUUCGGGUUGUAAACCGCUUUCGCCUGUGACGAAGCGUUAGUGACGGUAAUGGGUAAAGAAGCACCGGCUAACUACGUG
rnacentral:rRNA from 1 species